CCUACGGGUGGCAGCAGUGAGGAAUAUUGGUCAAUGGGCGAGAGCCUGAACCAGCCAAGUCGCGUGAAGGAUGACGGCCCUACGGGUUGUAAACUUCUUUUGUCAGGGAGCAAUUGGGUCCACGCGUGGGCUUAGCGAGAGUACCUGAAGAACAAGCAUCGGCUAACUCCGUGCCAGCAGCCGCGGUAAUACGUAGGAGGCAAGCGUUAUCCGGAAUGACUGGGCGUAAAGGGUGCGUAGGUGGUUUGACAAGUUGGUAGCGUAACUCCGGGGCUCAACCUCGGCACUACUACCAAAACUGUCGGACUUGAGUGCAGGAGGGGCAAAUGGAAUUCCUAGUGUAGCGGUGGAAUGCGUAGAUAUUAGGAGGAACACCAGUGGCGAAGGCGAUUUGCUGGACUGUAACUGACACUGAGGCACGAAGGCGUGGGGAGCAAACAGGAUUAGAUACCCGAGUAGUC
rnacentral:rRNA from 1 species